rnacentral:RNase_P_RNA from 1 species
GGAGAUAGCCAUGCGAUCGCCGCCUGUUGCAGUUUACUGUCAACGGGGGGAGGAAAGUCCGGGCUCCAUAGGGCAGGGUGCCAGAUAACGUCUGGGUAGUGCGAGCUAACGGCCAGUGCAGCAGAGAGUAUACCGCCGAUGGUUCAUCUUCGGAUGUUCACAGGUAAGGGUGAAAGGGUGCGGUA